rnacentral:rRNA from 1 species
AAUAUUGGACAAUGGGGGCAACCCUGAUCCAGCCAUGCCGCGUGUGUGAAGAAGGUCUUCGGAUUGUAAAGCACUUUAAGUUGGGAGGAAGGGCUUUAGGUUAAUACCCUGAAGUUUUGACGUUACCAACAGAAUAAGCACCGGCUAACUCUGUGCCAGCAGCCGCGGUAAUACAGAGGGUGCAAGCGUUAAUCGGAAUUACCGGGCGUAAAGGGCGCGUAGGCGGAUCGUUAAGUCAGGGGUGAAAUCCCGGGGCUCAACCUCGGAAUUGCUUUCAUAACUGCUGAGCUAGAGUACGGUAGAGGGUAGGGGAAUUUCCUGUGUAGCGGUGAAAUGCGUAGAUAUAGGAAGGAACACCAGUGGCGAAGGCGACUACCUGGACUGAUACUGACACUGAGGUGCGAAAGCGUGGGGAGCAAAC